rnacentral:rRNA from 1 species
UACGUAGGGUCCGAGCGUUGUCCGGAAUUACUGGGCGUAAAGAGCUCGUAGGUGGUUUGUCGCGUUGUUCGUGAAAACUCACAGCUCAACUGUGGGCGUGCGGGCGAUACGGGCAGACUUGAGUACUGCAGGGGAGACUGGAAUUCCUGGUGUAGCGGUGGAAUGCGCAGAUAUCUGGAAGAACACCGGUGGCGAAGGCGGUGGUCUGGGCCAAAACUGACGCUGAGGAGCGAAAGCCAGGGGAGCAAACGGG